GAUGAAGAACGUAGCGAAAUGCGAUACGUAAUGUGAAUUGCAGAAUUCAGUGAAUCAUCGAAUCUUUGAACGCAUAUUGCGCUCUCUGGUAUUCCGGAGAGCAUGCUUGUUUGAGUAUCAGUAAACACCUCAACUCCCCUUUCUUUUUUUGAAAUGGGAGCUGGACUUGAGUGAUCCCAACGCUUUUCUCACCGAAAAGUGGCGGGUUACUUGAAAUGCAGGUGCAGCUGGACUUUUCUCUGAGCUAAAAGCAUAUCUAUUUAGUCUGCCUAAAAAACAGAUUAUUACCUUUGCUGCAGCUAACAUAAAGGAGAUUAGUUCUUGUGCUGACUGAUGCAGGAUUCACAGAGACAGCUUCGGCUGGCCUUUGUAAACUCGAUCUCAAAUCAAGUAAGACUACCCGCUGAACUUAAGCAUAUCAAUAGCGGAGGA
rnacentral:misc_RNA from 1 species